ACUCGGGGCCCCGGCCGCCGCUCCCGGCGCGGGUCUCGGGCGCGCCCUGCCCGGCGGGGAUGGAGGAAGGGGAGGCGGAGAGCGGUGGGAACCGAGGGCGGGGCGUGCGAGAACCCGGGGCGACCACGGCGGGACGGCAUUGGGGGGCCGGAGGCGGGCAUCGGGAAGCGGGUAGAGCGUUGGGGGCGCUGCAGUGGGAGCUUGGGGCGGCCCCCGGGGCGGGAUUGAGGGGGAGGGGAGGGGAGGCGUUGGCCGCCGGGCUAGCCGCCGGCGGGGCUCCAGGCCGGGACGGUCGGGGAUGGUUCCACAGAGGACCCAGCCGUCUGCCCCGAGCUGGGCGCUGCGCGGCUGCUCCGGGGGAAGCUUGGUGAGGAGGAGUCGGGCCAGCCGGUGAUGCCUGCGCCUCUUGCGCAUGCUGACCCCCUCAAGGAGCGGGGCCAGAGAAUCGCUCCUUUCUGGCAGGGACUGUGGCCGCUUUCGGCCUGGGAAUGAAGCGACGUAGCCUGCUGGGGCUGUGAGGUGAGUAGCUCUACCUUUUGGGGUCCUGAUGGUCUCCCCAUUCUUAAAUUGUGGGAGUGGAGCUAGCGGCUAAGUCAAUGAAACACCAGCCAUCGGGCAACGCCCUUCUCAGAGCCUGUGUCCUGGCCGGGACGGGGAGAAAGAGGACUCCUGGGAUGGAAGGUGCACACCCAGGCAGCUGGAAGCGCUCAGUCACAGCCCGGGGACUCGUCCCCUCUGCGAUACGGAUUCGGAGCUGCUUCUGAAGCAGAAUGGUGUCAGAGGACCCAGAGCUGGCAUUAGGAUACAGGUGCACACAUUCCAGACAGACCUGGGGGUGGCAUCCAGGAGAAGGCUUAUAAGUUCCCUGGAUGGGGCCUCUGUGCCAUGCAACAAGGGACACAAGAACAGGGCUUGGGGUCCAGGCUGGCGGUGGCAUGCCUGCCACCUGCAGACCCUGGUCAGUGCAGGAUGGUGCCUCCAACACGGGCUAGGCUGCCAAGGCUGAGGACACAGGGCCAGCGAGCCUGCCCAGCCACGUGCUGCAGGGGCCUCAGAGACCUGGGCUGCGGUGCCAGGUCUCUAGGCAGUGCCCUCUGUGCCUGCAGGGACUGAUUCUGGCACAGUGACCGCAGAACCUGGGGGGCGGAGCACAUGCCCCCGGAAGGCUGUGAAAUCCCGCCAGUGGCAGUGACAGAGGCGAAUAUGAGGGUCCUCAGAGGAAAAACAAAGAAGAUAGGAGCAGCAGAAAAUGGCCCCCACGAGGAUCUGAGCCAACCUCGCCACCCCUAGGGCUCCCGGCCCUGCUUCCCUGGGAAAGCCUGGCCAUGUGGGUCACCCCUGUGAGCAUACCCUUUCUGAGUGUCUGAUGGCCAGUUUGCCAGGUGAGCUUCAGGUGCAUGUGGGGCAAAGCAAGGGUGGGGAAGGGAGGAGACCGGGCCUGAGCAGUCACUCCCUCUCGGGGCCUCGGUUUCCCCAUCUGAGACCCAUCCAACUCCAGCGAGUGGUGGCUUUUCUCCAAGGCAUGAUGUCCUGUGUGGGAGCCCUGGCCCCUGGUUCUGCUUUUCCACUAGGUGUGACUGGUCUCACAUCCUUCCCCAUCCAUAGGACCCCCCUCCUGUGGGGAGAGGGCACUUGUUUGUCCUCUUUUGCUCAGGGGGCUGGGCCACCUCCCUUGAAAUGGGGCUGACUCAGCAGAGGGAGUGCAGACGGCAGCCCAGCCCACCCAGGCUGCAGCGACCCCAGUGGGAGGCCCACCCGCCCCACGGCCAUGGGCUCCAGUGAGCCCCCAAAGUCUGGCUCCAGCACCAGGAAGUGAGAGGCAGCAGAGGGAAGCAGACAGGACGGGAGACCCUCCCCACCCCCCACACACCCCCCUGCAAUGAUGGCAUGCUUAAAGGCAUGGAGGCUGCCUCCAAGAAGACGUGUGAGAUUGUAAAUGUGCAUCACAAGCGCCUCCGGCAUCACAGAGCUCCCUUCCACUGGGGGUGAAGCACUCUCCCAGCAGCAGCUUAGUGGUCCCCAAGGAAGGAGGCAGCUGCCUGGCCGGCUGAGGGGCAGGGGGCUCUAGUCCCAGUCCUGGACUCUCAGGACCACAUUUGGUGCAAGAGGGUGCUGAGAAGGAUGAUCCGACAUCCAUGAACUCGGGAAGGACCCUGCUGUUUCGCCAGAGAAGGGAGGCCAUCAGCUCAUGGCAGCUUUUGGUGGUGGUGGGAGUGGCAGGCCAGCCCUGAGUGGCCCCACCAGACCCCCACUUGAAGCCCUGGCCCAGCUCCAGCCAGGAGCCUAUCAGAAUGCCCAGGAGCCCAGGGCAUGUGGUUGGUAGGACCCAGUGCCCCAGGCAGGGUAAUAUCAGAGAUACACCUGAGGUCUGGCAGGGCUGGCCCAGCUCUUACCUCCCUGCACCUAGGAUGAUGGCGGCAGAUAGAGGCAGUCCCCUCAGCCUACCUGGACCCAGGGAGAAUCACACCCCCUCCCACGAAUGUCCCAGGCUCUAACUCCCUUUCACGUCUGGCUGCCCUCGCCCACCGUGGCCUACCUGCUGCCUCAGCCACAGCCGCUAGUGUCCCUUCCCAGAGGGCAGCAUUCACCUGCCCCCACCUCCUGCUUCUCUCAAGCCAUAUCCAGACAACCUUGGGCACAGUGUGAGGUGGAGACGUUUCCCAGGAAGUGUGGGCUUUUUUAUUCUCAUCUGCCAUAAUGCAGUCUGGCCCCUAUGUUUCUGUUGGAGAAGCUGGGGCUGGCGGUUCUCUGGCUGGAAAGUGCAUUGUACCCCACAACUCCCCACGGCCUCCCAGGCCUAAGAAGCUCUCCAGGUAAGGGAUGGCUUGUCCAGGUAGGCAGGACAAGCCAUCACUGGGCCCACAGUCAGGUGAACAGAAAUCCACCUCCAGUCAAAAACAGGCCAGGUGUGGUGGCUUACCCCUCUACUCCCAGCACUUUGGGAGGCCAAGGCUGGAGGUUCAUUUGAGGCCCAGGGUUUGAGACCAGCUAUAGACACAUUGCAAGACCCUGUGUCUAUUAAAAAAAACAAACAAACAAAUAAGCGGGCCAGGCGUGGUGGCUCAUGCCCGUAAUCCCAGCACUUUGGGAGGCUGAGGUUGGGGGAUCACCUGAGGUCAGGAGUUCAAGUCUGGGCUGACCAACAUGGUGAAACCCUGUCUCUACUAAAAAUACAAAAGACAUUAGACAGGCUUGGUGGUGGGUGCCUGUAAUCCUAGCUACUCACGAGGCUGAGACAGGGGAAUCACUUGAACCCAGGGGGCGGAGGUUGCAGUGAGCCGAGAUCGUGCCAUUGCACUCCAGCCUGGGCAACAAGAGCAAAACUCCAUCUAAAAAAAAACAAAGAAGAGAAAAUAAGAAAAACAGAUUAGCAAAUUAGCUGGGCCAGGCACAGUGGCUCACACCUGUAAUCCCAGCAAUUUGGGAGGCCAAAGCAGGCGAAUCACUUGAGGCCAGGAGUUCAAGACCAGCCUGGCCAACAUGGCGAAACCC
rnacentral:lncRNA from 10 species